CAAAUUAUAGCAUAUAAAAAUGCUUUUUAUUUACACUAAAAAAAAAAUACUUGAUAUUUAAUUUGA
rnacentral:tRNA from 1 species